AUUCACAAGACGUUUACACUAUACACCUAAUUUUUCACUUCACAUGGGGAAAUAAUUACACAUAAUCUGUUACACCUGUAUGUUUUAAUAGAUUUUUAUCCAUGAAUAUGUACACAAUUAUUCUCAAUCCCAGUCUAAUCACAGUCGGAACCUGCUGGCUCUCUUUUAGGAUAAACUGUGUUGUUCAAAGCUGUUGCUUUAAUCAGAGAGAUUACGAUUUGGCCAAUCCGAGGCCCUCUAGAAGGCGUCCAAUAAUGUCAGCAUUUUCACGUCAUUUGAUUGGAUGUUCAGAGAGCAUGCUACUCAGAGCUCGCAAACCGCAUCUGUAGCAAACUGCACAAGCUCAAAAAUAUUUGUGUGGAUGUUCGUUUAAUAGCAAAUUUUUUUUUAUUCUAGAAUGUCUGACAGAGGAAUGAGACUCAAAAAAAAGUGGGACCUCGUGAUGGAAGGUCGGCCUGAACAGUUCAAAACGCACUACAAAGACCAAACCACAUCUAUACAGGCCUCUAAACGACAUGAGCGUUCACCUGCUGGUCAUCUGGCACUUUCCUGACGAGGACUUCUGCAAUUCUUUGUGGUUCUUCUGAGUCAUAAUCCACCUCCCUCUCUCUGAGAACAGUAAUGUCUGCACCAACCCUGAGAGACCACCACAGAAGAUAAUCCAACCAGCAUGCCAUUGUCUUCCACGCCGAUUUGAUACACGGCCUCGCCCCUGCCUUCCUGCAGCCUCCAUUUCAUCUGUGUUGCCAGGUGCUCGAAACGAUACUGCGUAGGGUUCACCAGUUUUAGCUGA